CUCGGGCUCAGGGGACCUGCAGCUCCAGUGUCCUUAUCUACCGGAUCCCAGAGGCCAUAUCAACUCAUUUCUUUAUAGAGUUAGAAAGAGCAAUUUGCAUAGUCAACUGGAAUAAAAAAAAACCCCUAGGAUAGUGAAAACUAUUCUCAACAAUAAAAGAACUUCUUGGGUAAUUACCAUCCCUGACUUCAAGCUGUAUUACAGAGCAUAGUGAUAAAAAACUGUAUGGUAUUGGUACAGAGAAAGGCAGGUAGAUCAUUGGAAUAGAAUUGAAGAUCCAGACCCUUGCAGACAGCUGAAACCUGGCUCUGAGGAGUGACUUCAGGCCCAAGAGCAGAGAACAACUGUGCAAAGAUUCUCCAUCUUCAUCAACUUCUACUAUCAACACAAAGUCACCUUGACAAUUGCAGGAGAAUGCAGCCUACCUCAUGAAAACAUGAAGCUAAAUGUGUCAUAAAGUCAUAAAGAAAAGCAGAGAUGUGGGAUUGAAAGAAAGCCUUGAGGCAAAGUUUCUCACAAUGAAUUCAGGAACAACUUCUUAAUCACCUGCAUAUGCUACUUCCAGAUUCUCAUCUUUUUGGGUAAGGAGUACUCCAGGGAAACUAUUCAUCUCUCUUGCACCCUGAUAAGCCUUACCACGCAUGUGGAGCUUCUACUUCAUACUGUUACAAGAAUUUGAGCUGAUGGAAGAUUCUAUCCUACCAACCAGUUGCUGGGAACAGGAGCUGCAUCAAUUGUCCGAGUUCCUGGUGUGAUCCCCAUACCUCUGGAUGAAGACUGACUCCCAGUGGUACUCUACAGGCAUAAAAGAGACUUUGGCAUUACUGCGACAGUCAUUGCUACCUUCGCCAUUUCAGCCACCACUGCUGCUGCAGUGGCCGCUGUGGCCAUAUCUCAAUUGGCAGUUGUCAUUGGGACUAUGGAUACGUUGUCUGGAGAAAUCGCCAUGGCAUUGACUGUGCAGAAUAACAUUAAUAUUCAGAUUCAGUUGGUCAUUCGUAAUUUCAACCAACAAACUGCUCUCAAUUGGACUUUCUCUGGAAAAUCCAUGUCAUAUGUUCUACCUUUUAGCAUUCUAUAUGUGUAACCCCUGUUAAGGUCCUUAAUAGCAGCAAGGCUGUUGGGGAUUUAAAUGCUUAUCUUGAUUGCUGGCUCUUAGCAGCUGCCUCUGGGCUGUUUUGAAGUACCAACAGAUCCAGUCUCAGGCUGAAACCAAACAGGUUUGGUUUUCAUUGGCUGGGAAUAAGUCAUCAGCCCAAACUAGGCUCAGUUUGUACAAG
ensembl:lncRNA LOC120103454 uncharacterized LOC120103454